rnacentral:rRNA from 1 species
GUCGAGCGAACAGACGAGGAGCUUGCUCCUCUGACGUUAGCGGCGGACGGGUGAGUAACACGUGGAUAACCUACCUAUAAGACUGGGAUAACUUCGGGAAACCGGAGCUAAUACCGGAUAAUAUAUUGAACUGCAUGGUUCAAUAGUGAAAGACGGUUUUGCUGUCACUUAUAGAUGGAUCCGCGCCGCAUUAGCUAGUUGGUAAGGUAACGGCUUACCAAGGCAACGAUGCGUAGCCGACCUGAGAGGGUGAUCGGCCACACUGGAACUGAGACACGGUCCAGACUCCUACGGGAGGCAGCAGUAGGGAAUCUUCCGCAAUGGGCGAAAGCCUGACGGAGCAACGCCGCGUGAAUGAUGAAGGUCUUCGGAUCGUAAAACUCUGUUAUUAGGGAAGAACAAAUGUGUAAGUAACUAUGCACGUCUUGACGGUACCUAAUCAGAAAGCCACGGCUAACUACGUGCCAGCAGCCGCGGUAAUACGUAGGUGGCAAGCGUUAUCCGGAAUUAUUGGGCGUAAAGCGCGCGUAGGCGGUUUUUUAAGUCUGAUGUGAAAGCCCACGGCUCAACCGUGGAGGGUCAUUGGAAACUGGAAAACUUGAGUGCAGAAGAGGAAAGUGGAAUUCCAUGUGUAGCGGUGAAAUGCGCAGAGAUAUGGAGGAACACCAGUGGCGAA